AAAAAUUUCAAAAAUCAUUGAGAAUUUUUAGUCGCUUAAAACUUGCACAUUAUUACACUAAAGUUAAAUGGGCUAUUAAACCAGUAUCCGAAAUAUUCGUAAAAGUUUUGAUUCUAAAAAAGUGUGCAAUUUUUAU